AUGCAGGGAGAGGGGGCCGGAAGGUGGAGGAGGGGGGCCCCGUGCGCCGCCGAGGAGGCGACGCCUGAGGGAGAAGAAGAGGAGGAGAGGCUAGCCGCGAGAUGCAUGGCAAAUAAGAUCACUGCGGUUUACACCUUCGACACCCUAACCAUUCUUCAAGCCAGACACUUGAGCGGCCGCCGGCGGCGGGUGCCGAGGAUGCGCGGCGCCAAAGUGGCUAAACCACCCUCGAGAAAGUUUCGUGGCGUCUAUGAAAGACAGCCCGGCCGGUGGGUGGCCGACUUCCGGAGCCAUCGCCUCAACAUCCGCCGAUGGAUCGGCACCUUCCCUUCCGAGGCGGAGGCCAAAGCGGCCUACGAUGACUUCGUGACGCGCUUCUCCUUAAGCGGCUACGUUCACGUUGCGAUUGUGACGGCGUCGCCGGCAGACUUGAGUCGCAACGGCCACAAGAUCGAUCUUGUAUCAGAUGAAUCGAAUCAGUCGGAGAUGAGAUUGAAGCAAGAUGCGGGGGCGGAGGCGGCGCCGUGCAUGCCUUCUUUGACAUCGCCGGCGUCGCCGCCACUGCCGGCGGCGGUCAUGCCGCAUGAGGCGCUCCCGUACGCGGAUGAGCGGCAGAUGGGCGAGCCAUUCGUGGCGGAGGAUCUCGCCAGCAACCAUCUCAUUGCCGCGGCUGAUCUCGCCAACCUGCCUUUGCCGUCCUUGGAUGACAAACUGGACUUCAGUUCAGGUGAUUGGUCGCUCGCUAGUUCCGGAUUACAGUGA
rnacentral:rRNA from 1 species